rnacentral:rRNA from 1 species
UGGGGAAUAUUGGACAAUGGGGGAAACCCUGAUCCAGCAAUGCCGCGUGAGUGAAGAAGGCCUUAGGGUUGUAAAGCUCUUUCGCCCGCGAAGAUAAUGACGGUAGCGGGAGAAGAAGCCCCGGCUAACUCCGUGCCAGCAGCCGCGGUAAUACGGAGGGGGCUAGCGUUGUUCGGAAUUACUGGGCGUAAAGCGUACGUAGGCGGAUGCGCAAGUUGGGGGUGAAAUCCCGGGGCUUAACCUCGGAAUUGCCCUCAAAACUGCACGUCUUGAGACCGAUCGAGGUAAGGGGAAUUACUAGUGUAGAAGUGAAAUUCGUAGAUAUUAGUAACAACACCCGUGCCCAAGGCGCCUUACUGGCUCGGUACUGACGCUUACGUACGAAAGCGUGGGGAGCAAACG